rnacentral:lncRNA from 8 species
GUAAUACAAGGGGAGGGGAUAUAAACACUGUGAUGGACUGAAACGUAUGUUCCACCGGGCUGUAAUACAAGGGGAGGGGAUAUAAACACUGUGAUGGACUGAAACGUAUGUUCCACCGGGCUGUAAUACAAGGGGAGGGGAUAUAAACACUGUGAUGGACUGAAACGUAUGUUCCACCGGGCUGUAAUACAAGGGGAGGGGAUAUAAACACUGUGAUGGACUGAAACGUAUGUUCCACCGGGCUGUAAUACAAGGGGAGGGGAUAUAAACACUGUGAUGGACUGAAACGUAUGUUCCACUGGGCUGUAAUACAAGGGGAGGGGAUAUAAACACUGUGAUGGACUGAAACGUAUGUUCCACCGGGCUGUAAUACAAGGGGAGGGGAUAUAAACACUGUGAUGUCAUCAUGUCUCUCUCCCUCCCUGCCUUCUCUUCUCUCUCAGGCUGGCUGUGGUGUUGUCGUGAGGAGACUGCUUUCUGCUGCACCAGCUGCAUGAGACAUGCAGAGCUCUGAGCAUCUCUAACAGGCAGCACUGUGGAACCAUGGACUCUUCUUGUUCUGAGUCCCAGUCCCAGGGCGACGGUGAGAAAGCUCUGCUCCAUGCAGAGAUCAGAGAGCACCCCACCACAUCAGGUAAGCCACUGACCUUUGGAAGGGACAGGAAAGGGUGAUGGGGCGGGAGAGGAGGGGUGUGGCAGGGGUGAGAGGGCUCACGGGGAAACAGGCUCAUGUCCUCCAACUCAACACCUCAAUAGGACAGGGAUGCAUUUGAAGGUUGUGUUACAGUAGCCAGUAUUUUGUGUUUACCUUAAACGAAUGUCAUGAAUUCCAAGUUAUAGGAAAGGAUUUCUCUGGGUAGGCCAAAGGUUUGGAGUGGGUGAAAGUUGUCUGUAACUUUGAUAUUGUUCAUCAUGUAUGGCUGGACAGUGCUGAUCUAGUUUCACACUAGCUUUAUGGUUCUACAGUGCCCUGUUUUGGUGAGCCACAAUAUUUCCAAUAGUCACUGACUUACUGAAAUGUCACUUGCAGUUGUUGAGUUCACUAUCUAGGCC